AGAUUGGUGAAUGAAUCAGAUGGAUUAUUGUUUUCUACAUGAUCAAAUAUGUUCAUAGUGUAGUAUGAACAAAGACGUUCCAAAUGAAUUGUUGCAUUUAAUCUUUGCCCC